CCUACGGGCGGCAGCAGUGAGGAAUAUUGGUCAAUGGCCGUAAGGCUGAACCAGCCAAGUCGCGGGAAGGAAGAAGGAGCUAUGGUUUGUAAACUUCUGUUAUAGGGGAAUAAAGGGAGCCACGUGUGGAUAUUUGCAUGUACCCUAUGAAUAAGCAUCGGCUAACUCCGUGCCAGCAGCCGCGGUAAUACGGAGGAUGCGAGCGUUAUCCGGAUUUAGUGGGGUUAAAGGGUGCGUAGGUUGUUUUUUAAGUCAGCGGUGAAAGUUUGUGGCUCAACCAUAAAAUUGCCGUUGAAACGGGCAGCCUUGAGUGUGUUUGAGGUAGGCGGCAUGCGUGUUGUAGCGGU
rnacentral:rRNA from 1 species